AUUGAACGCUGGCGGCAGGCCUUACACAUGCAAGUCGAACGGAGCGGCGAACGGGUGAGUAAUGCCUCGGAAUCUGCCUGGUAGUGGGGGAUAACUUCCCGAAAGCGUAGCUAAUACCGCAUACUAUUAGAUGAGCCGAUGUCGGAUUAGCUAGUUGGUGGGGUAAAGGCCUACCAAGGCGACGAUCCGUAGCUGGUUUGAGAGGAUGAUCAGUCACACUGGAACUGAGACACGGUCCAGACUCCUACGGGAGGCAGCAGUGGGGAAUAUUGGACAAUGGGGGAAAGCCUGAUCCAGCCAUGCCGCGUGUGUGAAGAAGGUCUUCGGGUUGUAAAGCACUUUAAGUUGGGAGGCGUUACCUGCAGAAUAAGCACCGGCUAACUUCGUGCCAGCAGCCGCGGUAAUUC
rnacentral:rRNA from 1 species